UUUGAGGGGAAUGUUGGCUGGCUCGAGGCUUUUGAGUUUGACAAAGGAGAUAGAUAUUUCAUUCCAUCUUGGAAGAACUAUAAGGCUUCGGACCAGGCUUCAUUCCCCUCAAA
rnacentral:pre_miRNA from 1 species